CCUACGGGUGGCAGCAGUGGGGAAUAUUGCACAAUGGGGGAGACCCUGAUGCAGCGACGCCGCGUGAGCGAUGAAGUAUUUCGGUAUGUAAAGCUCUAUCAGCAGGGAAGAAGAUGACGGUACCUGACUAAGAAGCCCCGGCUAACUACGUGACAGCAGCCGCGGUAAUACGUAGGGGGCAAGCGUUAUCCGGAUUUACUGGGUGUAAAGGGAGCGUAGACGGCGAUGCAAGCCAGAUGUGAAAGCCCGGGGCUCAACCCUGGGACUGCAUUUGGAACUGUGUGGCUGGAGUGUCGGAGAGGCAGGCGGAAUGCGUAGUGUAGCGGUGAAAUGCGUAGAUAUUAGGAGGAACACCAGUGGCGAAGGCGGCAUGCUGGACGAUGACUGACGUUGAGGCUCGAAAGCGUGGGGAGCAAACAGGAUUAGAUACCCGGGUAGUC
rnacentral:rRNA from 1 species